UUAUUUAUUAUAAUGUGUUAAUAUAUAUACAUGCACAAAUAAAAAAUUAUAAGAUGUACUUAUACACACACACACACACAUAAAAAAAAAAAAAAAAAGUUAUAGAGGUAAAGAAUGAAGUUAAGUGUAACUUUUUAGGUAGAAAUGAUGGAGUGACCUUAAGAACAGAUUCUUGGACCUAGGGAUGAAAUCUGAUUUUAGGGUGUUCGGAAGGGUGUUUCAAGAAAGGAUACACUGGUUAUGACCAUGUUGUUGAUACCAGACGAAUGAACAAAUUAAGAACUGAAUUAAGUCGUAGAAACAAAGAAUUUUGGAUGUCACUUGGAAAACUUCUUGGGCAGAAACUUCUUUGGGCAUUUAUAUAAAUGAAACUCCAGGACAUUUCAAGAUUCAAUUCACAUUUUUCAGGAGAUUGUAUCAUAAAAUCAACAACAGGUAUGCCAUGAGAAAAUGGAACAUAUUUUCCUAAUUUUAACACAAUGUUUCAGAUUUUUCUUUUUGAUAAUAAAUAUUAACAAUGUU